rnacentral:rRNA from 1 species
UCGCUACUACCGAUUGAAUGGCUUAGUGAGCUCUAGGGAUCGUCGCUUUCGAUAGGGUUUCCUUUCGUUCGUGUACGAGAACUAGAUCAAACUUGAUCAUUUAGAGGAAGUAA